rnacentral:rRNA from 1 species
AGCUCCAAUAGCGUAUAUUAAAGUUGUUGCAGUUAAAAAGCUCGUAGUUGAAUUUCUGGUCUCGCCGUCGGCCUUUCGGUGUCCGCCCCGCGAGAUCAUCCUCACCUCUGGGUGUCAUUUACUGUGAAAAAAUUAGAGUGUUUAAAGCAGGCUUUAGGCUUGAAUACAUUAGCAUGGAAUAAUAAGAUAGGACCAGUUUG